UUUCAGCCGCAUUAACUCAGUUGCAGUAUGAGCCAUGGCUCGAUAUUCAGCCUCAGCACUAGAUCUAGCCAUAGUUUGUCCUUUCUCUUUUC